rnacentral:rRNA from 1 species
UACGUAGGGGGCAAGCGUUGUCCGGAAUCACUGGGCGUAAAGCGCGUGUAGGCGGCCACUUAAGUCUGAUGUGAAAGCCCUGGGCUCAACUCAGGAAGUGCAUUGGAUACUGGGUGGCUGGAGUACCGGAGAGGAGGGUGGAAUUCCUGGUGUAGCGGUGAAAUGCGUAGAUAUCAGGAGGAACACCGGUGGCGAAGGCGUCCCUCUGGCCGGAUACUGACGCUGAGACGCGAAAGCGUGGGGAGCAAACAGG